ACCUUGCUGACGUGUGCCAAGUAGCACGAAACCCGCGUCCAGGGU
rnacentral:hammerhead_ribozyme from 1 species